AAUAAAUAAAGCCGAAAUGUUUAUCACUCCGCGUCGCUUGGUGACACUGGGAGUCAAGGUGAUGAUGACGUGUUGAGCCGGUAUAAAAGCAGAAGCCAACGCUCGAAUUUUGUUUUCACAUGAGAGUGCUAAGAGGAGCUUUUCUAACUAGUGCUGUGAAAACUCGCAUUUUACCAGCGACUCUGAAAGUUUUCCAAACUUGAAGAAUAGGACAACUGAAGCACCCAAAAUGGCCACCCCUGGAUUACAGCGUCAGCAAUACCUGCUGUCCCUUGGUAUCAACCGCAUACUUGACGGCCGCUAUGCUGACCUGGUGAAGCCACUUAGUGUGCGUCAAAUGGUUGUCACCAACCUGAGGAAACGUCCUUUGAGCCCCAGCCAUUUGGACUCUAUGAAAGACCUGGUCCUCUCCCUUUACCAUCACCUGGUUACGGGGUCCAAGGAUUUUCCUCACGUCGCAUUCAGGGGACACCUUGACACAGACGAGCUGGAAACAACGUUUAGACCUGUGCUGCAGAGUCGGAGGGAAAACACCACUCCAUCUCCUCUUACCGACUCACCAGAUGGAAUGGUGGUGCUGCCUCCAGGGUCCCGCCUGACAUCUCAGAUCCUGACUCCGGUCCUUCCUGACAAGGCGAAUAUUUUUGUGCUGAAGGCAGACCGGAGGAACUGUGUCCGCACCCUGGAGGUCAACGGCCUCACCGUCAACAGAGUCAUAUCUGCUGUGUAUCGCACAGAAGACUGUGACACUGAGAUGACAAACAUCUGGAGGGUCACUGACUACAGCUCAGAGGGCAACGUCAUCAUGUCAGUGCUCUGCCGCUUCCGGAGGAUGUUUGCACAGCGUGCAAAAAGAAAGGCGACAGAGGAGAAAAGCAGCAGCAGGAGCCCCGCUCCACCAAGGAAGCGCUUCAGACUCUAAUCAAGAUCGAAGCCUUUCCUGGAGAACUUAUUUUCUCCAAACUUUUGUACAUAUGUAUAUAGUUCUUUGUUAUUGUUGAGAAACACAGGUCAGUGUUUUCAGUGCCUCUUGCACUUUUCUUUAUUUCUUGUUGCUGGCCUGUGUUUUUGAUAUUACUAUGAGGAUUACAAAAUGACUUUAUUAUAUAAUCUAUGCAAAUGAACUAAGGAUCCAUGAAGACAGUGGCAAGGAUAAAUUAUUCUCUGCUGCAUCUCACACAUCAGCAAGAACCAACACAGUGAAUCUGAUGAAAAGGAGAAACAAAAAGAGACACACCACAAACGAGUUUCCCUGACUAACAUGAGAGGAGCAGUAACUGCAUAAGGAGGAAGAAACAGGAGCAUCCAAAGACAGCCUGAGAGUUUUUGGGGGCACCGUGAACAGCAGUCACCUCAGAGCAAGAGAGUCCUGGUGGCUGUCUGGGUUCUCUCCAGGAGCUCUGGCUUCAUCCCACAGUCCAGAGAAAUGAUCUGAGCUGGUGAGUCCAGUCAGUGUGUGUCAGAUAGUCGUCAACAAACUUGAGGAACCGUCCUUUAAACAGCAGCCAUUUGGACUCUAUGAACAAUCUGCUCCUCUCCCUUUACCAUGACCUGGUUACGGGGUGCAAGGAUUUUCCUCCAAUCGCAGUCAGGGGAUAGUGUCACUCAGAGGAGCUGACGACACCUUUUAGACCUGUGCUGCAGAGUCGGAGGGCAAACACCACUCCAUCUCCUUCUACAGACUCACCAGCUGGUAUGAUGGUGCUGCCUGCAGGGUCCCGCCUCACAUCUCAGAUCCUGACUCCGGUCCUUCCUGACAAGGCGAAUAUUUUUGUGCUGAAGGCAGACCGGAGGAACUGUGUCCGCACCCUGGAGGUCAACGGCCUCACCGUCAACAGAGUCAUAUCUGCUGUGUAUCGCACAGAAGACUGUGACACUGAGAUGACAAACAUCUGGAGGGUCACUGACUACAGCUCAGAGGGCAACGUCAUCAUGUCAGUGCUCUGCCGCUUCCCGAGGAAGUUUGCACAGCGUGCAAAAAGAAAGGCGACAGAGGAGAAAAGCAGCAGCAGGAGCCCCGCUCCACCAAGGAAGCGCUUCAGACUCUAAUCAAGAUCGAAGCCUUUCCUGGAGAACUUAUUUUCUCCAAACUUUUGUACAUAUGUAUAUAGUUCUUUGUUAUUGUUGAGAAACACAGGUCAGUGUUUUCAGUGCCUCUUGCACUUUUCUUUAUUUCUUGUUGCUGGCCUGUGUUUUUGAUAUUACUAUGAGGAUUACAAAAUGACUUUAUUAUAUAAUCUAUGCAAAUGAACUAAGGAUCCAUGAAGACAGUGGCAAGGAUAAAUUAUUCUCUGCUGCAUCUCACACAUCAGCAAGAACCAACACAGUGAAUCUGGUGAAAAGGAGAAACAAAAAGAGACACACCACAAACGAGUUUCCCUGACUAACAUGAGAGGAGCAGUAACUGCAUAAGGAGGAAGAAACAGAAGCAUCCAAAGACAACUGAGAGUCUUCAGUGCACCGUGAACAGCAGUCACCUCAGAGCAAGAGAGUCCUGGUGGCUGUCUGGGUUCUCUCCAGGAGCUCUGGCUUCAUCCCACAGUCCAGAGAAAUGAUCUGAGCUGGUGAGUCCAGUCAGUGUGUGUCAGAUAGUCGUCAACAAACUUGAGGAACCGUCCUUUAAACAGCAGCCAUUUGGACUCUAUGAACAAUCUGCUCCUCUCCCUUUACCAUGACCUGGUUACGGGGUGCAAGGAUUUUCCUCCAAUCGCAGUCAGGGGAUAGUUUCACUCAGAGGAGCUGACGACACCUUUUAGACCUGUGCUGCAGAGUCGGAGGGCAAACACCACUCCAUCUCCUUCUACAGACUCACCAGCUGGUAUGAUGGUGCUGCCUCCAGGGUCCCGCCUCACAUCUCAGAUCCUGACUCCGGUCCUUCCUGACAAGGCGAAUAUUUUUGUGCUGAAGGCAGACCGGAGGAACUGUGUCCGCACCCUGGAGGUCAACGGCCUCACCGUCAACAGAGUCAUAUCUGCUGUGUAUCGCACAGAAGACUGUGACACUGAGAUGACAAACAUCUGGAGGGUCACUGACUACAGCUCAGAGGGCAACGUCAUCAUGUCAGUGCUCUGCCGCUUCCCGAGGAAGUUUGCACAGCGUGCAAAAAGAAAGGCGACAGAGGAGAAAAGCAGCAGCAGGAGCCCCGCUCCACCAAGGAAGCGCUUCAGACUCUAAUCAAGAUCGAAGCCUUUCCUGGAGAACUUAUUUUCUCCAAACUUUUGUACAUAUGUAUAUAGUUCUUUGUUAUUGUUGAGAAACACAGGUCAGUGUUUUCAGUGCCUCUUGCACUUUUCUUUAUUUCUUGUUGCUGGCCUGUGUUUUUGAUAUUACUAUGAGGAUUACAAAAUGACUUUAUUAUAUAAUCUAUGCAAAUGAACUAAGGAUCCAUGAAGACAGUGGCAAGGAUAAAUUAUUCUCUGCUGCAUCUCACACAUCAGCAAGAACCAACACAGUGAAUCUGGUGAAAAGGAGAAACAAAAGAGACACACCACAAACGAGUUUCCCUGACUAACAUGAGAGGAGCAGUAACUGCAUAAGGAGGAAGAAACAGAAGCAUCCAAAGACAACUGAGAGUCUUCAGUGCACCGUGAACAGCAGUCACCUCAGAGCAACAGAGUCCUGGUGGCUGUCUGGGUUCUCUCCAGGAGCUUGGAGAUAAGAUACCAUAACUUAAAAAAAAUGUUUAGAAUAAGUGUGAGCCUCUUUUACAACUUUACUUACAUCCUUCAAAUGUAAGAGCUGCUGGCACGUCUGGUGAGGGUUUGCCCACACCUAAUCUAAACCGAGCUUUAGUCCCUCUCGUACUUUGUUGAGUAUUGGCUUCAGCUGCACCAGUGCCUGCAAUGUGAGGUCAUUAAUAGACAGGGAGGAAAUAAUAGUUGAAUUAAUUCUGAAUGAAGACGUCAUGCCAAAUAUUCUUUGAUAGCCAUUACAGUCAUGAAUACACAGACUUUAUGAUUGCUUUUUUCUUGUCAACAUGUAUUGUUCCCAAAUAACCACGGGCCACAACUGGAUCAGAUAGUUCCAUCAUUUCUCUUCAUCUGCAUUUUCGAUCUGAAAGCAGAAACAACAAUAACGAGGAGAAAUGGAAUUUUUAUAUUUAAGAACGAGGACUGUGUGGAGGAGAGCCGAGUCAGGUGACAGGUUGUUCACCUGAUCAACAAGCUGGAGUCAGAACCUGUGAUUUAUCCUCCCUGACUAUUGAGUUAUGUUUUAUGCUGAUGUUAUUUUCUUGUUUUGAGCCAAACCAGAUUUCUCUAUAGGAACUCUGUGUUAAAGGGUCAAUGCACCAAAUUAUGCUUUGAUAAGAGUUCAUUUCUCAUGCAAGGAAAGACACAAACUUCUCAGAGGGAUUAGUAGUGGGCACAAGUUAAAUGAGCUCAUAUCACUACGUUGGCUUUAUCAGCCCUGCACAGAACAGAUCGGUCUCAGACUUUUAGAUUCUCUUAAAUAAGUAGAAUCUGAAACUGAAGGUUUUAGAUUAAAUCUGAUUCCUAAAUCAAGAAGUAAAGCUUAAAGAAUAACCUAAGUUUGUAAUUUGGAACAAAGUUGUGUUAACUAAAACUAUCUUGAACUAAGGAAGGUUAAGUGUGACCUUCUUAGCUGCAAACCUAGAACUGGUCUAGUAGCUUUUAUAUCUGUCUUACUGUGACAUAAGUGCUGCAAAAGGGGUUUAUUUCUCUCUCUCUAUCUCUCAGUCCCUCUCUCCAAUUUUACCGUAUUUUCUCUAUAUAUGAUGUAGGUUUGGAUUUUCCCUGCUAAAUUGUGAUGGUCUGGCAGUCUCCAUCGGUCGAGCUGCCUGUAUCGUGCCAGUUUAUGGGCGUCAUCAGGCCGGAAGGUGUUUCCCGUGUUGAAGCCGCCACACCUGUCUUCCAUCUAGAUUGGCCACUACUUAACUGAGCUUCAGUCAACGCUGGAUCGUUGAGUUACCGAGAACUUGGAGAGGAGUGUGUCAGAGGAGCGAAGGAUUUGUAAAUGUCGAGUGUUGGAGUUGUUUGCCUGUCACACCUGGACCACGAGCACAGUCCUGCAGGAUGGGAAAGUCCUGCAUUGGGGCCUCGUUCUCACCACGCACCUUAACAUUGUCUGAGCCUGAGCCUUUUCAAGGUUCUGUUUUGCCAACUGACCCGCUACAUACAGUCUGUGCCAAAAACCAUUAACGUAAUCUAUCAAGUUCACUGGUGGUUCACCUGAUAACCACUUAUCGCACAGCACUGUCAAGGGUCCCUGAACUUUGUGGCCAAAGACCAAAUCAUUUGGGCUAAACCCAGUACUCUCCUGGCACACUUCUCACGCUGCCAACAGAAGCCACGGCAAACCUUCCUCCCAGUCACUCUUCAUUUCUGUGCAACAGGCACGUAACAAGGACUUCAGCAUUUGAUGGACGCGCUCUAAAGCACCUUGGCUCUGUGGAUGAUAAGGAGAGGCUUUGUUAUGUGUGAUGUUCAACAGCUUGAGAACUUGUGGAAAUAGAUUUGACGAAAAGUUUGAUCCCUGGUCACUCUGAAUAAUCUUCGGUAUGCCAAAUAAUAAACACUUUGAUUGAGAACCUGCA